GACGAACGCUGGCGGCGUGCUUAACACAUGCAAGUCGAACGAAGUGGCGAACGGGUGAGUAAUACGUGGGUAACCUGCCCUCCUUUUUGGGAUAAGCCUUGGAAACGGGGUCUAAUACCGAAUAAAGGGGGAUGGGCUCGCGGCCUAUCAGCUUGGUGGUGGGGUGAUGGCCUACCAAGGCGGUGCCGGGUAGCCGGCCUGAGAGGGUGACCGGCAAUAAUGGGACUCCGAUACGGCCCAGGGACGUACGGGAGGGAGCAGUGGGGGAUAUUGCACAAGGGGGGAGAGCCCGAGGCGGCGAUGCCGCGAGGGGGAUGAAGGCUUUCGGGUUUUAAACCUGUUACGAAAUCGAACCGGUAGGGGGAGAAGAAGCGCCGGCUAACUACGUGCCAGCAGCCGCGGUAAUUC
rnacentral:rRNA from 1 species